rnacentral:miRNA from 1 species
GACCAUCCUUUCUGGUUUGCCUGGGACUGUGGGGCUUUCCUGGGAUGCAGGAUUUUCAGUGCUAAAACUGAGAAAGU